rnacentral:snRNA from 1 species
AAAUUUACAGUGCAUUUUCUUGUAAGUUACAGUGUAAUUUAUGAAACUUACAUUGUAACUUUUGUAAGUUACAGUGUAAUUUUUGAAUCUUCGCAUGUAAGUUUUAAAAUUUAUAUUGGAUUUGGUUUUUUUCUUGAAGAUAUGGU